rnacentral:rRNA from 1 species
AUUGAACGCUGGCGGCAUGCUUUACACAUGCAAGUCGAACGGCAGCGCGGGCUUCGGCCUGGCGGCGAGUGGCGAACGGGUGAGUAAUGCAUCGGAACGUGCCCAGUAGUGGGGGAUAGCCCGGCGAAAGCCGGAUUAAUACCGCAUACGACCUGAGGGUGAAAGCGGGGGACCGAAAGGCCUCGCGCUAUUGGAGCGGCCGAUGUCGGAUUAGCUAGUUGGUGGGGUAAAGGCUUACCAAGGCGACGAUCCGUAGCUGGUCUGAGAGGAUGACCAGCCACACUGGAACUGAGACACGGCCCAGACUCCUACGGGAGGCAGCAGUGGGGAAUUUUGGACAAUGGGGGCAAGCCUGAUCCAGCCAUGCCGCGUGCGGGAAGAAGGCCUUCGGGUUGUAAAGCGCUUUUGUUCGGGAAGAAAUCCUCUGGGCUAAUACCCCGGGGGGAUGACGGUACCGGAAGAAUAAGCACCGGCUAACUACGUG